AUAUAAGUUGCUCAUGAAGAACUUAUAAUGGUGGAACCAGUGAGCCUUUGAGAUCUGUCAUAAUCGUCUCUGAAAUUGUCUCAAAUCGAGAGAGAAAUGAGAAAUCUUAAAAUUUUACCCUAAAUAAUUAAACCCUAGCUUUUAAUUAUUACUGCACAAAUUAUGUCUAAAUAAUUUUGCCCAUUUACUAGCGAGCUUAUAUGGUUUGUAAUCCAUUUUAAACACUUUAAUUUUGGGCUUCACCAAAACCCAACCAUUAUUAUUUGGACGUGGACAUCCCAUGGUCAGAAAACUCAUUCGAUAACCCUACAUUUGAUGAUCAAAGUGGCACGGAAGCUCGUUCGAUCUACAAGUUUUGUGGUGAGGAGACUUCUCAGUUUUUCUUCUAGUGUGGUUGUACUUCAGGUAAAUUCUUUUCAAUACUUAGUGGAAUUUUUCGCUAACUGUUUUGUGUAAAUAAGGACGAGGCCUCCAUAGCGUUCAGUGCUUUAACAAUGCCGUAUCCACUCUGCUAAUCUUGGAUUUCAAGAGGUAUGACAGUUUGUGUUGUGAUAGGAGCCUUCAUUAAAUUAAAUAAUUUCAACAAUUUAUUUAUUUUUAGAACCAAAAGAUUUUUCAAAAAU
rnacentral:sRNA from 1 species